rnacentral:rRNA from 1 species
ACGGCUCAGUAACACGUAGUCAAUCUACCCUAUGGACGGGAAUAACUUCGGGAAACUGAGAAUAAUGCCCGAUAGAACAUUAUGCCUGGAAUGGUUUAUGUUUCAAAUGAUUUAUCGCCAUAGGAUGGGACUGCGGCCUAUCAGUUUGUUGGUGAGGUAAUGGCCCACCAAGACUAUUACAGGUACGGGCUCUGAGAGGAGUAGCCCGGAGAUGGGUACUGAGACACGGACCCAGGCCCUAUGGGGCGCAGCAGGCGAGAAAACUUUGCAAUGUGCGAAAGCACGACAAGGUUAAUCCGAGUGGUUUCUGCUAAAGAAACCUUUUGUCAGUCCUAGAAACACUAACGAAUAAGGGGUGGGCAAGUUCUGGUGUCAGCCGCCGCGGUAAAACCAGCACCUCAAGUGGUCAGGAUGAUUAUUGGGCCUAAAGCAUCCGUAGCCCGUUUUGUAAGUUUUCGGUUAAAUCCAUGCGCUUAACGUAUGGGCUGCCGGGAAUACUGCAUAACUAGGAAGUGGGAGAGGUAGACGGUACUCGGUAGGAAGGGGUAAAAUCCUUUGAUCUAUUGAUGACCACCCGUGGCGAAGGCGGUCUACCAGAACACGUUCGACGGUGAGGGAUGAAAGCUGGGGGAGCAAACCGGAUUAGAUACCCGGGUAGUCCCAGCUGUAAACUAUGCAAACUCAGUGAUGCAUUGGCUUAUGGCCAAUGCAGUGCUGCAGGGAAGCCGUUAAGUUUGCCGCCUGGGAAGUACGUACGCAAGUAUGAAACUUAAAGGAAUUGGCGGGGGAGCAC